ACUCCUACGGGAGGCAGCAGUGGGGAAUAUUGCACAAUGGGCGCAAGCCUGAUGCAGCCAUGCCGCGUGUAUGAAGAAGGCCUUCGGGUUGUAAAGUACUUUCAGCGGGGAGGAAGGCAAUACGGUUAAUAACCGUGUUGAUUGACGUUACCCGCAGAAGAAGCACCGGCUAACUCCGUGCCAGCAGCCGCGGUAAUACGGAGGGUGCAAGCGUUAAUCGGAAUUACUGGGCGUAAAGCGCACGCAGGCGGUCUGUCAAGUCGGAUGUGAAAUCCCCGGGCUCAACCUGGGAACUGCAUUCGAAACUGGCAGGCUUGAGUCUUGUAGAGGGGGGUAGAAUUCCAGGUGUAGCGGUGAAAUGCGUAGAGAUCUGGAGGAAUACCGGUGGCGAAGGCGGCCCCCUGGACAAAGACUGACGCUCAGGUGCGAAAGCGUGGGGAGCAAACAGGAUUAGAAACCCCAGUAGUCCCAUG
rnacentral:rRNA from 1 species